AUGUUAUUUUGUGGGUAUUUCCUCACAGCUUUGAUCAUCCUCAAGCCGCAUUUUAGUGCUGCUGAAUACUCUGCCCCACCGGCUCCUACACUGACCCAGACAGCCACCAGAGGCUCAUCUGUGAAGUUGUUGUGUCAGGCUCCAGAAGGUUAUGGUGGACUUGUAUUUAAACUUUUCAAAAUGCGCCAGCAGAUAGAUAAGGUUGAGAAUUCAACCAAACAGAAAAGGGCUUUCUUUAUUCUUAGGGGAAAAGAUACAGAAAAAGAGAAUCUGUAUUGCUGUCAGUAUGACAGCAGCAUGAUCAGUUCCUAUUUGCAGCCAGAGCAGAAAGUCGGUCCCCCUCCAUCCCCUGAACUGGUGGUCGAGCCCUCUAGUGGGAAUGUUAGUCCUGGUGAAACACUGUCAUUCCACUGUCAGGCUCCACCUGACCGUCAGAAACCGUCUCCUGAGGCUUUUCUCUUGCUCCGGAGAGCCAAAGGAACCCCGGGCUCCAUGGUUGCUCCAGCCCAGCUGGUGUCUCAGUCCCAUGAAGCUUACUUCAGUGUGAAGGCAAAGGGACGGGAGGACGGUGGGGACUAUGUCUGCCUCUACCAACUCAAAUCACAGAAGACGGGACAGGUGAACUCCACAGCCAGUCAGCCGGUGCACAUUACUGUCAUAGAGCUCCCAGUCCCCACUCUGUCCUUGUCCCGAAGCGAGGGUGAAUUUCUGGAGUGUGUUGGGUCACCCUCAUAUCCUCAAGGCUACUUCAGUUUAUUUCGUGUCGGUGUCCUGUCACCUGAGGCAACCCAUCAGGCGUCCCUGAUCCAACACAGUGCUAGAUUUCCCAUACCCAUCCGUUAUGAACAUGGUGCACAGUAUCAGUGUCAGUACAGCGUGUCAUUGGGCAACACCAAGGCGUACUCUAAAAUGAGCUCACCAAUUACUAUCCCAUGCAUUACAGGAUAUCAUCUAUGCACAUCGAGCUCUACAGGCAGCACAGACCUGGCUCUGAUUGUUGGCUCUGUGUCUGCGGGUGUUCUGUUUCUCAUGGUGGUGGCAAUCUUGGGCUUUGCCGUGCACAGACAUCUCAAAAACAUGUCAGAGAGAAGGAGACAAAGAGAUCAAGAAAAAUUCUGGCAAAAUGUGCACUCCAGAGAUCAUAUUGUUGAUCUCACUCUGCAGCGUGUUGACAUUGGAACUGAGGAAAAUGGACAAAUGCUUAGAGGAAGACCCUCAUUUUCAGAGCCCAUCUACGAUUAUCCCAUGGCAACCUUUAAGAACGCCUCAGUUUUCUGAUGUCUAUCUAUCUAUCUAUCUAUCUAUCUAUCUAUCUAUCUAUCUAUCUAUCUAUCUAUCUAUCUAUCUAUCGAUCAACGGACCAGAUGCUACAUUUUGUGUUUGACAUAUUCUGUAUAUUGUGAUGUAUAUUUAAAAGCUGAAACAUUUUUUAUAUAUUUGUAAAGUAAUGAAUGAGUAAACAAUUUACUGUAGUUUCUGUAGUUCAUAGUACUUUUCACUGAGAUAUGAAUUUUUCUGUCAGCAGGGGGCUCUGGACAUCCAGAUAUAAUGUGAGAUAGACAUUUCAGUGAAGCACUGGCAGUUUUAAGUGUUGGGAAUUAAAUCUUUGCAAAUCGUUUUAUAGAUUUAAUCACCUAAAGCUGAAAAGUGAAAUCUUUUAUUUGCAUUUUUGCACAGCAGAGGACACUUAGUUCAAGUGGUGCUUAAGAACUUCUUUCAGUUCCUCUUUGCUUAUCAUGAAAAUUUAAAAGGAAAUUAAUUUGACAGUCAUGCCAGAACUACAUUAUUUGAUGCUAGUUUUUUUUUAAGACUUUUUGUUCCCAAUUUUUGUUCCCAUCUAUGUGUUCACAUAGCCUGAAACUAUUUGAAGUAUCAUGAUAACAUUUUAAUUAUCAAACAAUAAACCAUUUAUAGCUCUCUUACA
ensembl:lncRNA